GGGAAAUCUUACCGGGUCCGGACACACUGAGGAUUGACAGGCAAUCAUGUGAAUUGUUUUUUUUUUAAACAUUCGCAUAUAAAUAUGCUAGUCCUUUCAUGAUUAUGUGAUAGGUGGUGCAUGGCCGUUCUUAGUUCGUGGAGUGAUCUGUCUGCUUAAUUGCGUUUCAUACUGGACUUAGAAAUCAAGUGUGUUUAUUUUUCUUGCGCGGUUAUGUUCUAAUGCAUUUUGUUACCCCAUUUUUUGGGUGUGUUUCAACUUGCGUUUUUUCGUGCCGUGCUUUAUUGAUAAAUAAAUACACAUCUAGUCCUGAAAGCAACGA
rnacentral:rRNA from 1 species